rnacentral:rRNA from 1 species
GGCCGCGGUAAUACGGAGGGUGCAAGCGUUGUCCGGAUUUAUUGGGUUUAAAGGGUGCGUAGGCGGCUAUUUAAGUCAGCGGUGAAAGACAUCGGCUCAACCGAUGCAGUGCCAUUGAUACUGGAUAGCUUGAGUGUUGGAGGGGUACAUGGAAUUGAUGGUGUAGCGGUGAAAUGCAUAGAUACCAUCAGGAACACCGAUAGCGAAGGCAUUGUACUGGCCAACAACUGACGCUGAUGCACGAAAGCAUGGGUAGCGAACA